GAUCUCUCUCUCUCUCUCGAUCUCGAUCUCGAUCCGCGAGCGGACUUCGCCGCAGAUCUGGACCACCUCCGCGAGCUCUCUCUCUUCCCCAAAACUCUCCCCAAAAUUCCUCCGCGAGAUUCCUCCUCCGACGCUCCGGAUGGAUGAGAGUUCUUCACUGACGCGCUUGGAUUGCCGAUCAAAAGGAGGGGCUCCAGGGUUCAAAGUUGCGAUUUUGGGUGCUGCUAGAGGAAUAGGUCAGCCUCUUGCGAUGCUGAUGAAGAUGAAUCAUUUGCUGUCAGUUCUUCAUCUCUAUGAUGUUGUUAAUGCCCCUGGUGUUACUGCAGAUAUCAGUCACAUGAACACAGGCGCGAUGUGGCGGCUAUGAGGAGGUGUACCCGGAGGCAAAUAAUCAGUUCUUGAGGGAAAAUGGGAUUAGGCUGUUUCAGUUUGGGAUUGAUGGGUGCAAGGUAAUCGUUGUUAAUGUGGUUGAUUGUAGGUGCCUUUGCUGUUUCAGUUUUGUGAGUUCAUUGUAACAGCCGGAGCAAAGAAGAUGCCUCGAGGUGAAGGAAGGUAGAAGUGCAGUAAGCUAGCAGAUUUUGGAAAUCACCAAUUUUACCGACUGAUAGGGAAGGGAAGGAAUUUUUGUUUCUUUCCCUUGCCUGAUUUUACCGACUGAUGUAAAUUUUGUUGUAAAAGAAUGUAAAUAUUGAGUUGUAAGCUAUGCUAGCUUGGGCAAGCAAUUUGAAUGUAAGGAAUAUUUAUCUUCGGUUUUAUUGUGUGCAUGUACAACAAACAAAUGUUCAAUGCAGUAGUUCUUCCAUGUUUCAACUUUUCA